rnacentral:tRNA from 1 species
GGAGCCGUGGGAGAGCGGUCUAAUCUACAUCUUUGCUAAAGAUGCAGGGGUUAAACCCCCUCGCGAGUUCGAAUCUCGCCGGCUCCG